CCUGUUUCUGUUGAUUAAGCCUGGCUCCUGACAUUUAGAUGCUUUCUACUAUUUGCCUCCUCUUGGUAUUAACAAGACUCUGCCAGUCUGCUCUGAUCAGCAAGAGUCACACAGGAGAUGUUCCUCUGCUGCAGUAUGUGGUCAAUAACUCUCUGAGGGACCACCCAGUGCUGACCAAAC